UACGGAGGGUGCGAGCGUUGUCCGGAAUCACUGGGCGUAAAGGGCGCGUAGGCGGCUGUUCAAGUCGGGGGUGAAAUCCCGUGGCUCAACCACGGAAUGGCCUUCGAUACUGGACGGCUCGAGACCGGAAGAGGUGAGUGGAACUGCGAGUGUAGAGGUGAAAUUCGUAGAUAUUCGCAAGAACACCAGUGGCGAAGGCGGCUCACUGGUCCGGUUCUGACGCUGAGGCGCGAAAGCGUGGGGAGCAAACAGG
rnacentral:rRNA from 1 species